GCCUACCUACGGGGGGCAGCAGUGAGGAAUAUUGGUCAAUGGGCUUACGCCUGAACCAGCCACGUCGCGUGAGGGAAGACUGCCCUAUGGGUUGUAAACCUCUUUUGUCAGGGAGCAACGCCGGCUACGUGUAGCCGGACUGAGAGUACCUGAAGAAAAAGCAUCGGCUAACUCCGUGCCAGCAGCCGCGGUAAUACGGAGGAUGCGGGCGUUAUCCGGAUUUAUUGGGUUUAAAGGGUGCGUAGGCGGACUGGAAAGUCAGCGGUAAAAUCGAGAGGCUCAACCUCUUUCCGCCGUUGAAACUG
rnacentral:rRNA from 1 species